UACGGAGGGUGCAAGCGUUGUUCGGAUUUACUGGGCGUAAAGAGCGUGUAGGCGGUUUAACAAGUCAGAUGUGAAAGCCCCGGGCUCAACCCGGGAAGUGCAUUUGAAACUGUUUCACUAGAGUAUGGGAGAGGAGAUUGGAAUUCCUGGUGUAGAGGUGAAAUUCGUAGAUAUCAGGAGGAACACCCGUGGCGAAGGCGAUUCUCUGGACCAAUACUGACGCUGAGACGCGAAAGCGUGGGGAGCAAACAGG
rnacentral:rRNA from 1 species